UACGUAGGGGGCAAGCGUUGUCCGGAUUUAUUGGGCGUAAAGAGCGUGUAGGCGGCCAGAUAGGUCAGCUGUGAAAACUCGAGGCUCAACCUCGAGACGCCGGUUGAAACCAUCUGGCUAGAGUCCGGAAGAGGAGAGUGGAAUUCCUGGUGUAGCGGUGAAAUGCGCAGAUAUCGUCAAGAACACCUAUGCGAAGGCAGCUCACUAAGCUUUAACUGACACUGAGGCACGAAAGUGUGGGGAUCAAACAGG
rnacentral:rRNA from 1 species